rnacentral:rRNA from 1 species
GAUGAACGCUGGCGGCGUGCCUAAUACAUGCAAGUCGAGCGAACGGACGAGAAGCUUGCUUCUCUGAUGUUAGCGGCGGACGGGUGAGUAACACGUGGAUAACCUACCUAUAAGACUGGGAUAACUUCGGGAAACCGGAGCUAAUACCGGAUAAUAUUUUGAACCGCAUGGUUCAAAAGUGAAAGACGGUCUUGCUGUCACUUAUAGAUGGAUCCGCGCUGCAUUAGCUAGUUGGUAAGGUAACGGCUUACCAAGGCAACGAUGCAUAGCCGACCUGAGAGGGUGAUCGGCCACACUGGAACUGAGAAACGGUCCAGACUCCUACGGGAGGCAGCAGUAGGGAAUCUUCCGCAAUGGGCGAAAGCCUGACGGAGCAACGCCGCGUGAGUGAUGAAGGUCUUCUGAUCGUAAAACUCUGUUAUUAGGGAAGAACAUAUGUGUAAGUAACUGUGCACAUCUUGACGGUACCUAAUCAGAAAGCCACGGCUAACUACGUG